rnacentral:lncRNA from 1 species
UCGCAUUCUGAUUGUCCACCCCCAUCUCCACCCUCCUCAAAACUGUUUAUUGUUAAAAUUCCCUUUGUAUGCGCGGACACGGGUGGCGAACACUUGUAGGUGGUGUAAAAUUUUCCUUGUUCACAGCAUUCUGCGCCAUUAUCCUGGUUACACUGAUUUUUCGGGGGCUUCUUUCCUUUCACUUUGCCACUUGGCUUGCACUUUUGUGCUUCAACCAAUGCACCAGCUGUGAAAAGAAGCACAAAGAGGACUAGAAGAUACUUAAAAGUUGGGUAAACUUGCUUCAUUUUUUCAGAAUGUCUUCCUGCAGUGAUGCUGAUUGUUAGUGGUGUACAGAAUGUGCACAGCUUAGAAAAUAAAUAGAAAGAGGGGUGCUGAAGGACAAAAAUUCGGGCGGAAACUACCAAAGACUGCCUCUUAAUUGUGAUUAGGAGAUUUUACGAUUCAUGUGAACAAUGUUACUGAUCUCGCGGUGGAAAACAAAAAACAACUGGGUUGAUGCGAGACUUGCAUCGUGGUAUCACGUAAUUAUUCAACAUGUUUUGUCAUUUGGUUCUACUGUUUCAGAUUCUUUUGUUGUUUAUGAUGAUUCCUAGGAAGAUUCACUGGGGUUCAAAUCUCUUUUGGACACCGGCCCGAUCGAGCGGUUUCUUAACAAAAGAGCACCUAGAGCUGUAACAUUUUCACUUUUAUAAAGUUUAUAUUUAAUAACUUCCUAUACAAGGAAUAUAAGUUAGGAAUUAAAAAAAAAAAACUGAGAGAGUUAUAUUUUAGUGCACAAACCAUUCAGUGUUGAAUCUAGUAAAGUAAACUCAGAAUCGAGAUAGUUGAAUCCAGUAAAGAGUAUUAGAAUACUUAGAAGUUUACAAUGUAAUUUUCAACAUAAUUUUAUUGAUGCUAUAGUUAUAUACUGACGAUUACAUAUAAAGAUUACAGCAAUCAAAAAUAUUUAUGGACAGAAUAUUUGUAUUAAUUCACAAGCAUGAUUGUAGAUUUGGUGCUGUAAAUCAGUAGCAGAUUUCCUUCACACUAAUGCUGCAAUCACUUGCAGAUUUCAUGCAUCUGCAAAGUUCCAGCAUCUUCCUUAAUAUGCCCUCGCAAAAUUGAACUUCCAUCAUCAAGUCCAAUUUUGGCUCGUAAUAAUUCAGUUCAUGUCCGAGACAAUGGCUUGGUUAAUAAAUCUGUAAGUUGGUCUUGAGUGUGGACGUGGCGCACAUGAAGAAUACCCUUCUGAACUUGAUCACGCACAAAAUGAAGAUCAAUUUGGAUAUGCUUCAUUCUUGAGUGGUGAACCGGAUUGAAACUAAGGUGAGUUGUGCCAAGAUUAUCACACAGUAGAGAAGGUGGCACUGUCAAAGGAAAUCCGAGUUCAUGAAAAAGUGCAAGAAGCCAUAGUGUUUCAUAGGAUUGCAGCCAAGAAACGUAAUGUAAGCCGAUGUAGACGUGCGAUCAUCAAUGUUACCGGCCCAGUCAGCAUCGCUAUAAGUUGUUAAACAUGAUGCAGCAGCUUUCCUGAGAUGAAUACCAUGAAAAAUUAUCCGCUUGAGAUAGCGAAGAAGCCUCUUGGUGGCAGCCCAUUGAGUGACCGUGGGCUUGUGCAUAAACUGAGACAACUUAUUGACUGCAAAACAGAUGUCCGGACGAGUUAAGGAGAGGUAUUGCAGGCUGCCAAUAAUACGCCUAUACUUGGUGCUAUCCACUGAUGUUGUUCCAUCUAAGAGAUGAAGAGAUUGAGUAAUGGACAGAGGAGUGGAAAUGUCCUUGGCACCAGCCAUAUUUUGAGUCUCCAAGAUGGUCCGGAUGUACUGGUGCUGGGAGAGAAAUAAACCUGCAUGUGUGGGAAUGACUUCAACUCCCAAGAAGUAGUGAAGUAAGCCCAUAUCCUUCAAGGAAAACCGAGUACCAAGAGCAGUAACAACAUGUCCUACGAACUGAGUAUCACUGCCUGUAAUCACCAAAUCAUCAACAUAAACAAGCACAUAACAAAUAACUGAGUUAUGAUGAUAGAUAAACAGUGAGGAAUCAGCUGUAGAAUUCUGGAAACCAAGUUGCAAAAGGGAAGAUCACAAAGCUGAAUACCACGCCCUAGGAGCUUGUUUGAGACCAUAGAUGGCUUUCUUUAAUCUGCAUACAUAGUCAGGUUUGGAUAAAUCUUUGAAGCCCGGAGGCUGCAAUAUAAACAGUUUCAGACAACAUGCCAUGUAAGAAAGCAUUAUUGACAUCCAUUUGUCUCAAGGACCACCCAUUCAUAACAGUAAUGUUCAACACAGUUCUAAUGGUUGCUGGUUUAACAACCGGGCUAAAGGUUUCUUUAUAAUCAACUCCAGGACGUUGAUUAUAACCCUUUGUAACAAGCCGCGCUUUGAAUUUAUCAACCGAGCCAUCUGCCUUUCGCUUGAUUCGAAAAACCCACUUACAACCUACGGGCUUACAGUCUUUGGGAGGAGGAAUUAAAUCCCAUGUACCAUGACUCAUAAGGGCUGUUAACUCACUGGACAUGGCUGCACGCCAUUCAGGAUGAGAUACGGCUUGGCUCACACAAGUUGGUUCCAGUGAAGGCGGAAAGGAAUGCUUGGACACAGUGUUCAAUUGUUUAGAUUUGAAAAUAUUGUUCAUCGAUCGAGUGGUCAUGGAGUGAUGACGGGUUGGAAUAAUGUCAAUUGAUGUUGAACAUGGCAAGGGGACAAUGCUUGUAGAUGUCGCAUCGUGAGUUUGAGGGGAGAUGUUAAGUAAUAUUUAUCUAGUUUUAUUUAUUAAGGGUAGAAUAGUAUUUUCAGUUUAACCUAUAUAUAAUUUCUUUGUAUUUAGGUUAACUUAAGCACUCAUAAUAAACAUAUUAUUGAGAAUUCUAGCCUCCUUUUAUGUUUCAUCUGAAUUACUUUAACAAUGCUCAUGAUGCAGAUUAUCAAUUGACUCAGAAAUAGAAGGUGAGUGAGAUGGGGUAAUACCUGGAGAUGACGCUGAGGAGGCAGCAACAGCGUCCAAACUCGUUGAUGAUUCCAAUGGUGGAGUGGAGAUCAGCGAAGAUGUCGCAGGAACGAGAGGAGCAGGAGAGGGGAUGACAGGGCAUGGAAUUGAUUUGAGAAACUGAUGGGUAUGGUUGGACGGUUGGAUGGAUGAUAAAUGGCCGGGUGGGUUGAGUUUUGAGACUAGACUUUAAGUUUCAUCAAACAGUACUACGUGUUUGGACACAUAAAUUCGAGCAGUUAAGGGAUCAAUGCAUUUGUAAGCAUUUUGGGUUGGUGAGUAUCCUAUAAAAACACAGGGAGUGGACUUAGGCUGUAACUUAUGGGUGUUAUAUGGCUUGGUGAGAGGAUAGCAUAAACAUCCAAAUUUCUGUAAUUUGAGAUAAUUUGGUUGUUGAUGAAAAAGAACUUUAAAUGGGGAUUUAUUUUGAAGGAGAGGAGUGGGUUGACGAUUUAUAAGAUAAGCAGCAAUUUGAAAUGCAUGAGGCCAAUAAGAGAGAGGUAAGGAGGCAUCAUGAAGCAAGGUGAGACCUAUUUCAUCAAGAUGGCGAGGACGUCUUUCAGUAACACCAUUUUUUUGAGGAGUGUGGGGAGCAGUAGUGUAAAAACUUAUACCAUGAUUGGAUAAGUAAGGUUUUAACUUUAGAAAUUCACCACCAUUAUCGGAGUACAAAGCUUUGGUGGUGGAUUGAAAUCUUUUUUCCACCAGCAUUUUGAAUUGGGGAAAGAUACUAGACACCUGAGAUUUUGCAGACAUUGGAUAGAACCACAUAUAUUUGGUAUAAUGAUCCACGAAAAGAAGGUAAUACCGUGCACCAUAAAUCCCAGUAAUGUAAGCAGGACCCCAAACAUCAGUGUAUACAGUGUCAAAUGGAGAGUAACUUUGAAAACUUGUUGAACCAAAGGGUUGUUUAUACGCUUUAUUUGUGGAACAAGAAGUACAUAAAGAUGAAAUUUUUUUUUGUUGAAACAGGAAGGGAUAAUUGAUUGACAAGAUGUUGAACAAUUUUAAUUGAAGGGUGUCCAAGACGUUUGUGCCACCCAUCAAGUGAAGUUCGUUCAUGCACAUAAGCAACUUUUUUUGGAGUGGGAGAAGCCACCAAGGAGUUUGGAAACAUGUAUACGUCAUUCUCAUACGCACCUCUUAGAAGUAUUGCCCCCGUGGUUUUGUCCUUCACAAGAAAAAAAAUGGGUGAAGUUCAAGAAAAACAUUAUUAUGUUUGGUGAAGUGAUGAACUGAAAUGAGAUUCUUGUGAAUAUGAGGAACACAUAAGGUAUCAUGUAAAUGAAAAGUUUUGGUAGGUGUAGGUAAAGCUAAGGAACCAAUAUGUGUAACUGCCAAACCUGUACCAUCACCAAGAAAAACCCCAUCAGUGCCGUCAUAUUCAGAGUGAAUAGAUAGGUUUUGGAGAUCACUCAUGAUGUUAUGAGAGGCUGCAGAAUCAAUUAACCACUUAUUAUCUUGAGUAUCUGAGGAUCCAGCACAAUUAACAGUCAUUGUAGAGGAUUGAAGUUUCAGGCAGAUCUUGGCUGUGUGACCUAAUUGGUCACAAUAUUGACAUUUUGGCUGAAAACGCCGGUUUGGAUUGGGACGACCCGAAUUAUUAUUGUUGCGCUGACGGUCUCUAAAUGAGCCAUUUGAGGGGCGGUUUUGUCCUGGUUGGCGAAAAAAACCAUUUCCUCUAUUGCUUCCUCUGUUUUGCUAAGAUGCAGAGGAGAUGGUUUCCUUGUUGGCAAAGCGGUGGCUGGUAAAGUUUGCAGCAGCCACCAGCUGCUGUGUGGCAGCCUCUAUCCUCCUUAAGUAACUCUCAUGCCCAACAAGCAUAUCAUGGAGUUCUUCAAAGGCAAGAGAUUUUUCUCGUGCUCGAAUAGGAGCAGCAAUCUCACAAAAUUCUGGACCUAACCCAUGGAGGACAUAGAGGGUUAAGUCAUCGUCAGAAAUGGGGUGAUCAAUAAGUGCAAUUUCAUCAGCCAAGCUUUUGACCGUAUGAAGAUACUCUAAAAUUGGUUGAUUUCCACGCUGGAUCAAGGUUAGUUCUUCCUUGAGUUGCAUUGCCCUUGUACGCGAUUUACUUGCAUACAGUGUUGAUAAUUUUUUCCAUGCCUCGUGUGAGGUUUUGGUUAUGGCAAUGAGAGGCGUGAUGGAGGGUGAAGUGGAUGCAAGAAUGGCGCUGAGAAUAAGCUUGUCUUGCCUUACCCACCUUUUUUUUUGUUGUAGACUGUGGAGUACCAUCUGAGAGAGGGCACUGAGACUCUCCAUUAACAUAGUCCAGGAGAUCAUAGCCGAUGAGAAGAGCCUCAAACUGUGCUCGCCAUUGAGGAAAGGAUGAGGGUGUGAGUUUCUCAUUGAUUUGAGUGGUGAUGUUGAAAACAACAAGGGAAAGUUCAGGAGAGGAGGUAGGUUGAUUUAUGGAAGACAUGGGGAUGACAUUCUCAUUGGAGAGAUGAUGCUCUGAUACCAUAAAGAGUAUUAGAAUACUUAGAAGUUUACAAUGUAAUUUUCAACAUAAUUUUAUUGAUGCUCAGCCUAUAGUUAUAUACUGACGAUUACAUAUUCUAUUAAGGAAAGAUUACAGCAAUCAAAAAUAUUUAUGGACAGAAUAUUUGUAUUAAUUCACAAGCAUGAUUGUAGACUUGGUGCUGUAAAUCAGUAGCAAAUUUCCUUCACGCUAAUGCUGCAAUCACUUGCAGAUUUCAUGCAUCUGCAAAGUUCCAGCAUCUUCCUUAAUAUCCAGAACCAGGCUAGUUGAUUUUUUGCAUGAUUUUUUAUUUUUGGAAAGGUUUUGUGUAACAACUAUUUUCAUACAAGGGAUGACAAUUAGUUUUCUGAAUCCUUUACAAAUACCUAUUAUUUCUAUGAAUCUUAAAACGAGGAGUAAAUAAGAAGGAAAGUUAGGAAAACACUUACACAUACAUUAUCAUCAUGCUUGAGAGUUUUAUUAAUUGGUUAUAUUCUUGUAUAUUGUGCUAUGAACAUCAAUUGAUUUGCUCUUUGUGGUGAGCAUAAUCAUGUGUACAUGAAAGCAUAAUCAUUUGAAUUACUUAUAGUCUUUGCUAAAAUAUUACUGAUAUGAAAGUACGUAGCACCAUAUCAACACUCAAAAAUAGAUUACUAGAUCAACACUCGGGUUAGCUUUUGAGCCCAUAAAAAAAAUAGUUGUAAAGGGUUUUGGUCCUCGAUCGUUCAUGUAAGUAUAUGAACAUUUGAUGAAUUGGAAAAGUCUAAGUUAUGCUCAGAGACUCGAUGUAGGCAACUUAGAACCAAGUAUAUAUGAUCUCUUUAACUUUACAUUCUUUAUUUUACACUUUUGUACUUAUAUAUUACAAAUUCAUUACAAGAGUUGUUGUUGUUAUCAUAUCAAAGCCUAUUCACUCCCCUCUAAACUUGGCUCUUGAUCCUACAGGAACAUCGAUUCUGUCUUCAGAAGAAAUUGGUUAAAUUUAACUUUUGAAUGGUCAAUUACAAUAUCUAAAUUUCUCAAAAGUGGAAUUGUGGAAAUACUUUUGCAAUCAUUCACCCUAUCGAAUUGUAUAAUUUACAUAUAUUAGAAGAAUAUCAUCAUAUAUUCUCAUCACAUUUUGUCUUUAUAGUUUCUGCCUGUAGGGAAAAAAAAAACAAAAAACAAAAACAUUAAUUAACUAACCUUGCAUAUGACUCCAAGAUCCCCGAUAGGUUCAGUUUGGCUCUUGAUCCCAUAAUGUAUUCCUCAUGCUAUUUUUUUAAGAAGCAAUUUGUUAAGAAGUUGCAUGUGUUCAGAAAGAUUAUAGGCCUCUACGUCCGUAUUGAACCUACGUGCACAAGAACUUAUAUUUAAUGACGGACACCACAGCUCUAACCCAAAAGCUUAGAUGGAUCCUAGAUCUUUCUUGUAUAAUUACUCUUUGUUUUAUAUUCCUUUUUAAUAUAUGAUAUUUACCACUCACAUAUACACCGAACGCAUCUCCCCCCUCGUAUGUGAAUCCAGUCCAUUCAAACACAACUCGCCCUUUAACAAAAGUAUUUAACAGUUCAAGUGCGUUAUCUAGAGCUUGAGACCUCGCUUUUUUGCUUAAUUAUAGAGAAGCAAACAAAACCAUGGGAGCCCAACCACAGUCAUCACCCAUCUCAAGUUGAACCAUGAGUUUUAAUACUAGUUUGUUAAGGAGCUAUCUACGUUUAGAGAGGUGCAUGAGCCUCCACAUAAGUAUAUGGUUUGUGUGCGCAAAAACUUACAUAGAAGGAUGCACACACUCUAUAUAUAUAUGCACCUAACACAAUCAGACUUCUUUUCUUCAAACAACUUAUAAGGCUCUUGUUAAUCCAAAAAGUUCUGCGGAGAGAGUUUGUCUGAGCUUUUCUAAGUUUGAUCGACACUUAAUUCCUGCAUCUGAAAUUGAUCAGCUUUCCAUCACCUUGUCGUUCUCACAGAACCUAUUCUUUAAUGGAUAGCGGAAGCUUAUACGCAUGCUCGUUUUGGUGCUUCAUGUCUUUCUCUAACCUUUCAUGAUGAUCAUGAUCAAGGCAUUCCCUACUGUCUCUCAUUUUGCAGUACUGGAUACUAGAUAUUCCAAGCAUCAACAGGCUUGUUCAGCCACUAUCCAAACCACUCUUAAUGCAAGAACUGUGUAAUUGUUACUUCGUGCCCAAAUUUUAAUAUCCUCUUAAGGAUCCCAAUAUUUUUGGUGCUGCUAUGUCUAGGGAUGAACUGCACCCUCAAACGUUGAGCCCAUUCAGACUUGGAGCCCCAUUUUCUGAUCACCCAUACUGAUGUUUCCGCAAAAAUCUCUUUUUCUAAGGAAUCAUUCAAGAUUCCAAGUACUCCUAAACCAUCAUUUCUGUUGAUGAGGUUGUGAUGCUCGUUUACGACCCUCCAUUUCCCAUCUGUAUUUGACAUUUUACUUGGGGUAUGGAACGCCUGUUUAUGAGUUAGCCCAGAGAUGAUGACAGCCAUAAAUAUAUAUAUAUAUAUAUAUAUAUAUAUAUAUGGAAUGAUGCUACCAUUUGUGACCAUUCAUCUAAGUAUUAGUAAGUUGCAUACCCUAAAUGACAAUCUUCUCUGUAUGAGAAUAGUAACCUCCUAAAUUAAAGGCCAGACACGUUCGGACAGCCAGAAAUGUUUGUGAUUAUUUGUUUUCCAGCUGCGGACCAAAUACCAUAACUUUUCUGCAAUGUUUUUGGCAAACCAUAAUCCUGAGCUAAAACAGAUCCUUCACCUUGCCUAGUUAUCCGGCAUUAAUUUCAGAACCCCAAUUUACAACUCCAAAUUAGUCAAGUUACAUUAGGCUAAUCUGAUCAUAAACCGUUGGCAGACAGACAGUGAAUACUCAUAUGCCCUAUUUAUAGUUCUCUACUCACUGAAACAGUUCAUGUAAAGAAUUAUACACUUGUUUUCUUUGUGGAAAAUUCUCCAUCUAGCUCUUUGAACCAAAUUAAAGGUAUAGAAACAAACGGUUACACCCAGGCCAUAUUAUUUUUACAGCAGAAAAACCUGACCCUUCAUUGAAAAAACCCUAUACAUAGCACUACUUGAUAAUCCAUUUUACACCCAAACUAAUUCCGCUUGUUAAUCGGUCCCUUUUUUCUCUUUCUUUGCAUAAAUUUUCUACCCAAAAUCAUCAUCUUUCUUUUUCAUCUACGCCUAUCAUACAUGGCAGACACAAGUCCAUUGCUUCCAUUUUCCCAUUCUCUGGGCCCUGGUUCCACCUAUAGUUCUAUUAGAUGGAGAUCCAAGAUAGUACUUCUCUUGGUAUUUUCUGGUUUGUUUCUUGUUCCUUUAAUUGUAUCUAUAGCUAGUAAUGACAACGGAUUCAAACAACACGUCCAAUAUUUACAAGAAGAUGAUCAAAAUGUAUCUUUUUCUCCGCCCAAAGAAACGACAAAACCGCAAAUUUUGAGGCCAGGAUCACGGGGGGUGUCAGCUGGUGUGUCAGAGAAGGCCAACGUGAAUUUGAAGGGUGCACAAGAGAAGGGCUAUCCUCAGAACGAUAGCAUGUUGUCAUGGCAAAGAACUUCUUUCCAUUUUCAACCUGAAAAGAAUUGGAUGAAUGACCCUAACGGUCCUUUGUAUUACAAGGGCUGGUACCACUUUUUCUACCAGCACAAUCCACAUGCUGCAGUAUGGGGUGACAUAGUUUGGGGCCAUGCUGUAUCAAGAGAUCUAAUCAACUGGUUCCACCUCCCAUUGGCAAUUGUUUCCGAUGAAUGGUUCGAUAUAAAUGGUGUAUGGACUGGCUCGGCGACUAUUCUUCUUAAUGGUAAAAUUGUCAUGCUAUACACAGGAUCCACUAACGAGUCAGUACAGGUACAAAAUCUUGCCUAUCCAGCUGAUCACAAUGAUCCUCUCCUCCUUAAGUGGGUCAAGUACUCUGGCAAUCCAGUUUUAGUCUCACCACCAGGCAUUGAUCCCAAUGACUUCCGUGACCCGACAACAGCUUGGUACACUUCUGAAGGGAAGUGGCGCAUCACAAUAGGGUCAAAAGCUAACAAUACUGGCAUAGCUUUAGUCUAUGAUACUGAAGACUUCAUAAAUUUUAAGUUAAGUGGGGUACUUCAUGGUGUCCCUGGAACUGGAAUGUGGGAGUGCGUGGAUUUUUACCCUGUGUCGAAAACAGGUCAAAAUGGAUUGGAUACAUCGGCUAAUGGUCCUCAUGUGAAGCAUGUGGUGAAGACAAGCCUAGAUGAUGUUAGGAAGGAUUCCUAUGCCCUUGGGACAUAUGAUGACAAGACUGGAAAAUGGUAUCCAGAUAAUCCAGAAAUUGAUGUUGGUAUCGGAAUUAUGCUCGAUUAUGGUAUGUUCUAUGCCUCCAAGACCUUUUAUGAUCAGGAUAAAGGAAGAAGAGUGUUGUGGGGUUGGGUUGCAGAGUCUGAUACUGAAGUUGAUGACGUAAAGAAAGGAUGGGCAUCUCUUCAGGGCAUUCCAAGGACUAUUCUGUUGGAUACAAAGACUUGUAGCAAUCUGCUUCAAUGGCCAGUAGAAGAGGUAGAGAGGUUAAGACUAAAAGGCAAGGAAUUCAACAACAUAGAGGUUAAGACAGGGUCGGUUAUGCCGCUUGAACUUGACGGUGCCACACAACUAGACAUUGCUGCUGAGUUUGAGUUGGACAAGAAGGCCUUAGAGAGCACAGCUGAAUCCAAUGUGGACUUCAGCUGCAGCACCAGUGGUGGGGCUGCUCAACGUGGUGCAUUAGGACCGUUUGGUCUUCUGGUUCUUGCAGAUGACAGCCUAGCUGAGCACACUUCUGUAUACUUCUAUGUUGCUAAAGGAAAUAAUGGCACCCACAAAACUUUCUUCUGCACUGACCAGUCAAGGUCUUCAGUGGCAAAUGACGUUAAGAAAGAAAUUUAUGGAAGUUAUGUUCCAGUUUUAGAGGGUGAAAAAUUAUCUGUUAGGAUACUGGUGGAUCAUUCGAUAGUCGAAAGUUUUGCUCAAGGUGGUCGGACAGUUAUCACAUCACGGGUUUAUCCAACAAGGGCAAUCUAUGGUGCUGCUAGGCUUUUUCUAUUCAACAACGCCAUUGAGGCUACCGUCACUUCCUCACUCAAGAUAUGGCAAAUGAAUUCUGCAUUUAUACGCCGUUAUUCUAACGAACAGUAGCUGCUACCUUUAGUCUACCUAAUUUGCAUCCAUCUGUACCAUAGUUUUCUUUUCUUUGUAAUGCUUUUUACCCAAAUUUUGAAUAACAUUAAUUUCUUCUUUUUUUUCCUAUCAAAGAGAAAGGUAAAAUGUAAUAGGAUUAUCUUCAAUUGGUUCCUUUUUCUUUUUUAACCUCUAUCCAAACAAAAUCUUAGAAUCACUACUGUUAUCAUUUCAUGAUAAACUUAUUAACACCAACACCAUCCUUCCAACCCAAAGUAUGAAAAGUUGGAAACACAACAACACUGUCUUGCAGCAAAGCAAGCUUAUUGCAGCUUUCAUGCAUGUAAUCUUACAGCAGAACACAAGAAAGAAAGCAAAUGGAAAUCAAGCAUCAGACCAGGUGAUAUCCAUCCAUCCCUAUUCCUUGUCUUUCUCAUUUACUCCUAAUGCUUUCCAAACAGCUUUCGAGGCAUCUACAAUAUUAUUUGCGCAGGGUGGCUGGUAACCAUGUUCAUCAUCACAUCCCAUAGUAGAGUCACAAUGAUCGACCACCAACGCCUUCACGCUUCUUCCGUUUCCAUUAAUGGUGAUAUGGUGGCGGCACCUCUUCUUGUUGCUGAACAAUCCUGUUGACAGUGCCACCAUAGGUGUGUCAUCGUCAUGAUACCUACCAUCGCAUUCUGAUGGUCCACCCCCAUCUCCACCCUCCUCGAAACUGUUUAUUGUUAAAAUUCCCUUCGUAUGCGCGGACACGGGGGCGAACACUUGUAGGUGGUGUUAAAUUUUCCUUGUUCACAUCAUUCUGCGCCAUUAUCCUGGUUACACUCAUUUUUCGGGGGCUUCUUUCCUUUCACUUUGCCACUUGGCUUGC